GAUGAACGCUAGCGAUAGGCUUAACACAUGCAAGUCGAGGGGCAGCAUGGUCUUAGCUUGCUAAGGCUGAUGGCGACCGGCGCACGGGUGCGUAACGCGUAUGCAACUUGCCUCACAGAGGGGGAUAACCCGUCGAAAGACGGACUAAUACCGCGUACACUCUAUGUUGGGCAUCCAAUGUAGAGGAAAUGAAAUUCGCUGUGAGAUAGGCAUGCGUCCCAUUAGCUAGUUGGUGAGGUAACGGCUCACCAAGGCGACGAUGGGUAGGGGAACUGAGAGGUUGAACCCCAACACUGGUACUGAGACACGGACCAGACUCCUACGGGAGGCAGCAGUGAGGAAUAUUGGUCAAUGGGCGAGAGCCUGAACCAGCCAAGUCGCGUGAAGGAUGACUGUCUUAUGGAUUGUAAACUUCUUUUAUACGGGAAUAACAAGAGUCACGUGUGGCUCCCUGCAUGUACCGGAUGAAUAAGCAUCGGCUAACUCCGUG
rnacentral:rRNA from 1 species